rnacentral:rRNA from 1 species
CAGUGGCGAACGGGUGAGUAACACGUGGGGAAUCUGCCCUGAACUNUGGGACAAGCCUUGNGAAACGAGGUCUAAUACCGGAUACGACCUUCUCCUGCAUGGGGGUUGGUGGAAAGCUCCGGCGGUUCAGGAUGAUCCCGCGGCCUAUCAGCUUGUUGGUGGGGUAAUGGCCUACCAAGGCGACGACGGGUAGCCGGCCUGAGAGGGCGACCGGCCACACUGGGACUGAGACACGGCCCAGACUCCUACGGGAGGCAGCAGUGGGGAAUAUUGCACAAUGGGCGAAAGCCUGAUGCAGCGACGCCGCGUGAGGGAUGACGGCCUUCGGGUUGUAAACCUCUUUCAGCAGGGAAGAAGCGCAAGUGACGGUACCUGCAGAAGAAGCACCGGCUAACUACGUGCCAGCAGCCGCGGUAAUACGUAGGGUGCGAGCGUUGUCCGGAAUUAUUGGGCGUAAAGAGCUCGUAGGCGGCCUGUCGCGUCGGAUGUGAAAGCCCGGGGCUUAACCCCGGGUCUGCAUUCGAUACGGGCAGGCUAGAGUGUGGUAGGGGAGAUCGGANUUCCU